CCAUCUUUCGGGGUGGAAAUUUUUUAUAUGGUGAAUCAUGAUAACUUUACGAAUCGCACGGUCUUGUACUGGCGAUAGUUCAUUCAAAUAUCUGCCCUAUCAACUUUCGAUGGUAGUAUAGAGGACUACCAUGGUGGUAACGGGUAACGGAGAAUCAGGGUUUGAUUCCGGAGAAGGAGCCUGAGAAACGGCUACUACUUCCAAGGAAGGCAGCAGGCGCGCAAAUUACCCAAUCCCGACACGGGGAGGUAGUGACAAAAAAUAACAAUACCGGUCUUAUUUAAGUCUGGUAAUUGGAAUGAGUACAAUCUAAAACCUUUAACGAGUAUCAAUUGGAGGGCAAGUCUGGUGCCAGCAGCCGCGGUAAUUCCAGCUCCAAUAGCAUAUAUUAAAGUUGUUGCAGUUAAAAAGCUCGUAGUUGGAUUUUGAUGUUACUUAUUAUGACCCGCCUUGUAUAAGGUGUGUUUGUUGUGAUAAGUACAUCUCCUUACUAGACUUUCAUGAUUGCACUUCAUUGAGUGAUCAUUUCAUCUUGAUUCGUUAGGGUGAGUGAUGAGUAGACCUACUGGGUUUGAGAUUGUGGACGAACUUCUUCGGAGGUUGGUUCUGCUUAGAUUCAGUAACUAUUCAUUAGAAAUCUAGUUCAUUUACUUUGAGUAAAUUAGAGUGUUCAAGGCAAGCAAAUUUGUUUCUGCAAUGAAUACUAUUAGCAUGGGAUAAUGGAACAGGACACGUAUUCUAGUUUUCCGUUGGUUUCUAGAAUUUUUAGUCUCUCUUCGGAGGGGCGAAGUGUAAUGAUUAAAAGGGACAGUUGGGGGCAUUCGUAUUUCAUUGUCAGAGGUGAAAUUCUUGGAUUUAUGAAAGACGAACUUCUGCGAAAGCAUUUGUCAAAGAUGUUUUCAUUAAUCAAGAACGAAAGGUAGGGGAUCGAAGACGAUCAGAUACCGUCGUAGUCUUAACCAUAAACUAUGCCGACCAGGGAUUGAAAGAUGUAUUAUCCUAUGUUUAACCGUAGGAAA
rnacentral:rRNA from 1 species